CAGGGAGACAACAAAAUGUAAAUAUUAAUUUUGUCACCUUAGGUCGAUCGGUAUCUCAGAUUCUUAAUUUAAGAAUUUCAGUUUCUAAGUUUUUUCUAGGUCACACCCAUCACUUUUUCCUGGGCCAUUAGCUCAGGUGGUUAGAGCGCACCCCUGAUAAGGGUGAGGUCCCUGGUUCAAGUCCAGGAUGGCCCAUAUCUCUAUGUUGGGGGUAUAGCUCAGUUGGUAGAGCGCCUGCUUUGCAAGCAGGAUGUCAGCGGUUCGAGUCCGCUUACCUCCACUGAAUACCACCUCUUACAUAUUUUAAAGAGGGAAAUUGUUUUGAGUUGUGUCCUUAUUUUGCUCUGAGCGAAUCUAGCUUCCUAUUUUUUUGAAAUAAGAUGCUGGACUCAUUGAAUUAUUUUCAUUGUUUUCAGAGAACCUUGACAACUGCAUAGAUUAUUUUUGAAGACAAUAAGCAUCUUUAAUGAUGCAGAUUUAUUAUUUGUGCGAAUGCAUUAAAUAACAAUUCUAUUAAGCUGAUGCUUCAAUUAUUGAAGUUAUU
rnacentral:tRNA from 1 species